rnacentral:rRNA from 1 species
UAGUCCACGCCGUAAACGAUGAGAACUAGAUGCUGCGGGUAUUGACCCCUGCGGUGUCGCAGCUAACGCAUUAAGUUCUCCGCCUGGGGAGUACGGUCGCAAGACUAAAACUCAAAGGAAUUGACGGGGGCCCGCACAAGCGGUGGAUUAUGUGGUUUAAUUCGAAGCAACGCGCAAAACCUUACCUGGACUUGAAAUCCCACGAACCUGCUAGAGAUAGCGGGGUGCUCUUCGGAGAAUGUGGUGACAGGUGCUGCAUGGCUGUCGUCAGCUCGUGUUGUGAAAUGUUGGGUUAAGUCUCGCAACGAGCGCAACCCCUAUCUUUAGUUGCCAGCAUUAGGUUGGGCACUCUAGAGAGACUGCCUGGGUUAACCAGGAGGAAGGUGGGGGAUGACGUCAAGUCCUCAUGGCCCUUAUGUCCAGGGGCUACACACGUAAUACAAUGGGUACAUACAAA